UCGGGUUGUAAAGCACUUUUGUCCGGAAAGAAAUCCUCUGGGUUAAUACCCCGGGGGGAUGACGGUACCGGAAGAAUAAGCACCGGCUAACUACGUGCCAGCAGCGCGGUAAUCGUAGGGUGCGAGCGUUAAUCGGAAUUACUGGGCGUAAAGCGUGCGCAGGCGGUGAUGCAAGACCGAUGUGAAAUCCCCGGGCUCAACCUGGGAACUGCAUUGGUGACUGCAUCGCUAGAGUAUGGCAGAGGGGGGUAGAAUUCCACGUGUAGCAGUGAAAUGCGUAGAGAUGUGGAGGAAUACCGAUGGCGAAGGCAGCCCCCUGGGUCAAUACUGACGCUCAUGCACGAAAGCGUGGGGAGCAAACAGGAUUAGAUACCCUGGUAGUCCACGCCCUAAACGAUGUCAACUGGUUGUCGGGCCUUCAUUGGCUUGGUAACGUAGCUAACGCGUGAAGUUGACCGCCUGGGGAGUACGGUCGCAAGAUUAAAACUCAAAGGAAUUGACGGGGACCCGCACAAGCGGUGGAUGAAUGUGGAUUAAUUCGAUGCAACGCGAAAAACCUUACCUACCCUUGACAUGGAUGGAAUCCCGCUG
rnacentral:rRNA from 1 species